rnacentral:rRNA from 1 species
CCUACGGGAGGCAGCAGUAGGGAAUCUUCCACAAUGGACGAAAGUCUGAUGGAGCAACGCCGCGUGAGUGAAGAAGGGUUUCGGCUCGUAAAGCUCUGUUGGUAGUGAAGAAAGAUAGCGGUAGUUACUGGCCUUUACUUGACGGCAAUUACUUAGAAAGUCACGGCUAACUACGUGCCAUCAGCCGCGGUAAUACGUAGGUGGCAAGCGUUGUCCGGAUUUACUGGGCGUAAAGCGAGUGCAGGCGGUACAAUAAGUCUGAUGUGAAAGCCUUCGGCUCAACCGGAGGACUGCAUGAGAAACUGUUGAACUUGAGUGCAGAAGAGGAGAGUGGAACUCCAAGUGUAGCGGUGGAAUGCGUAGAUAUAUGGAGGAACACCAGUGGCGAAGGCGGCUCUCUGGUCUGCAACUGACGCUGAGGCUCGAAAGCAUGGGUAGCGAACAGGAUUAGAUACCCUUGUAGUC